ensembl:snRNA U1 U1 spliceosomal RNA
ACGCUAACUGCUGGUUCCCUAUCACGAAGGUGGUUUUCCCAGGGCAAGGCUUAUCCAUUGCACUCUGGAUGUGCUGACGCCUGUGAUUUCCCCAAAUGUGGGAAACUCGACUGCAUAAUUUGUGGUAAUGGGGGGACUGUGGUCACGCUCUCCCCUA